CCCGUCUUUUGUCUCCUAGUCCUUCACAAGCAGCCGCGGGAAGUGUGUCUUUGCCUCCUGGAGCUGGGCAGGAUAGCAGCGAGGUUUGGCGUGGAGCCGCCCGGUUUGAUAAAACUGGAAAAGGAGAUAGAACAGGAAGAAACGCUAUCGACCCCGACAACGCCGUCACCGUCCCCUUCCCCGACAAAGUCAUCGUCCGGAAAGAAGAGCGUCGGGAAACUCUUAGAUGACGCAGUGCAGCAUAUUUCUCAGGACCCUCCUUGUAAAUGCCCCAACAAGUUUUGUGUGGAACGCCUCUCUCAGGGGAGGUAUAAAGUGGGAGAGAAGAUCCUCUUC